rnacentral:tRNA from 1 species
GGAUGUUUAGCUCAGUUGGUAGAGCACACCCCUGAUAAGGGUGCGGUCGGUGGUUCAAAUCCACCAAUAUCCACCA